CGGGAGCUGCGGGCGAGCGGGGAGGGGGAGGGGAGAGUCACUGACGGGAGAGAUCACCCCCUCCCUUCCCCCCUAACCCCAGCGCUCCCCCCGCCCUCCCGCACGGAGCCCUCCUCCUCCUCCUCCUCCUCCUCCCCGCGCUGCUGCCCCUGCCCCUCUUCUCCCUCCUCCCCCUGCUCCUCCUGCUGCUCUCAGUGUCGCUCUCGCCUCGCUCACACGCAGACGCGCCAGGGCCGGAGGGGAGCGCAGGGCCGGACCAGGAGCGGCAGGGAGCCCCGCUGGCGGCUCGCUCUGUGCGACUUUUUGGAUGAGCUCCUAAUGGAAAGGACAAGGGAAACGGAAUGAAUCCUUAACAAAAAGAGCUUUUGACCUAAGUGUAUUGGUGACACAAGUGUUCGCAAACACAAAGACAACAUUUUUUUGAACAGUCUGAAUAAAAAUCACAAAUAAUGAGGUUCA